rnacentral:rRNA from 1 species
AUGAGCUCUAGCUCCAGCUCCAACGCCAACCCCUUCCCUUGGAGUAUUGGCUGGAGGGCCUUCUUCCUCGGGUGGUCGGCUGGUGACCGCACCAAGUUCGAGAGCACCAUGGAGGUGUGCUCGAACUUCGGCUCCAUGCCGAACAUGCAGAACGAAUCUAAUGCAGUGCUCAUGAAGGCCACUAAAGAAGAGCUGAAGACGCUGAUUCCUGACCCAACAAAGGGCGCGAUGGCAGUUGACAUCAUUCGCUGGGCCAUGAAUCAGGCCGUCUCCGACGACGCUAAACAGAGGAAGAAGUGGUGCAAGUACAAGACCUACUGGGCUCCUAAUGACCGCCGUGCCGCAGUGUACUAG